UAAAAAUUAAGCAAUCUGUUUAAGUCUACAAACAGUUCCCACCCUGACCAAAAGAAGUAACAUUAUGCAUGUUACAUGUAACCAUUAAAACAUAUUAUGAACCAUAAUGAUGAACAGAUCAAAGUAGGUGCUGAAGUCGUAAAUGUAUUGCUUACUACAUGCGUGACCUUGAUGUCGAAGAUGUAGCAGCAGGAGCGCUCAAGGGAAUGCCCUUUGCUGCUCUCUCUUCCAAGAACUUUGAUGGCUUGAAGAAAUUACCAUAUACUUCUGACCACUUGCGGAGACUUUUAUAUAUAUGACCAGCCCCAACAGUAUCUCCCCAGAAAACAAUGCCACCUCUGUAAGAUGGGAAACUCAUUCCAAGUACAGAAGCGACAUCAAGGUCUGAUGCUCGGACUACUACCCCCUCAUCCAAAACACGGCAUGCCUCGUUCACAACUGGAAAGAGUAUCAUCUCAACAAUUUCUUGAUCAGUGAUAGAUAUUGGCUUUCCUCCAGGCAUAAUAUUAGUGAGCCUUCUGGACUCCUCAAUAAUUGGAAGAACUGAAGGAUCAGGUCUUGGCUUCUCUCCCUUUUUGUAAAUGUAGUAUCCUUUUCCAUUAUUUUUACCAUUUCGACCACUUUUUAUUAGAAGGUCAAGCAGUGGAGACAUAAAUACUCUAUCAGGAAAAGCCGAACUAUACUCUUUCCCUGUUGCAAUAGCAACUCCAUAUCCAGCUAAAUC
rnacentral:misc_RNA from 1 species